GAGGUUCCCUCCAGAUAGCGGUGAAGGGCGGCUUCCUAACUUUGUUUCCCAAGUCCCCUAACUUCGGAAUGCUUCUGCAUUGGUUCUUGCUCAGUGUCAUACCAGCGACUCCAAGAGUCAUGUCACCCACUUAGCAGGAGUACUUCUACUGAAAUGCCUUCGAAUUUCUCUUACUGGAUAUAUACCUACCAGCCGCUAGCAUGAAGAUGCCAGGACCGCUGCAAGUUAGCACUGGACAAAGUAGCAUCAACUUCUUCAUUUAGAGUUUCUUCAGUUAAAUUGCUGGGAUUUUCGACAAGGCUUUCCUUAUGUGGAUUAUUGGAGUGUGAUGCCCGAGAAUUCUCUACUUGUAGAAGCACGCCCACGGGACUGCAGAAGCCUUCACACCCACCCAGCACGCUCAGAUCAUCCAGUAACCAACCCAGGAAGUUCUUGUAAGCAUGCAUUUCUUAGUCAACACUGAAUGCCUUUAGACCGAGGUCAACCUUUUCAGCUGGUACCGUGGUUUACACUGCUGAAAGUACUGUCUUCAACCUUACCAAUGUCAGUGGCGGCGACGGUGGCGUCACCAUCACCAUCAGAGAAAAAGAAAUAUGCCUUUAUGUCAUGAUGGGAAUGAGUGAUGGCCAUCCAGUGACCAGCUGGAUCUGACUGCCUUACAAGACGCAUGUGUAUGAUUAAGAGAGAGACAUUCGUGACUCCCAGAUGUACCUCCUUCCUGUCCCACAGUGUUCCUGAAGGGAGUGAGUUAUGGGGUAACUUAUAACACAGCAGGCUCUUCCUCAAGAUAGCUCUUGUCAAAACAGGAAGACGAAACUCGGGUUUCCAUGAGGAGACCACAGCUUGGGAUCCUGUCUGGAUGUACAAGCAGAAGCAUCUUCAUACUUUUCCAUUUCUAACCAUCAUGCCUCACCCCACCCUCCCAAGGCGACAUCUGCAGAGAGGUGGAACCAUCUAGGGAGGCCUGCCACUGUUUGCUGAGCUCCGGGUGAGGAUGAAGACACUUUGACAUGGCCAGCUUCAGACUCGGGAUCUGUCGGUGUUAGCAGCCGAAGGAGAAUGAGGAGGAAGAGGAGGAGAAAGAGGAGGAGGAAGUAAGACAGAGGGGGACAAGAGGACCAAGAGGGCACAUGGCUGAGGAGGAGGAGAACAACAACAACAACAACAACAACAACAACAACAAGAAGCUUGGUGUUUUCAGGAUGUGUUCCUGAGUCUCGUGAGUAGCACAUGGCAGUUGUUGUCACCUUGGGCUGAGCCGUGAAGAUUCUCACCCUCCCUUGUUGGGGAUGAACUCCGGGAUUCUAAGGAGAGGUCAGCAGGUGUUUCACAGACUGUUCCUGUUGGAGGAUUUGUCUGAUACUCUUCUCCUGAUUAGUCUGGGCUCUACAUUUCCCCAAGGGUGAAACUUGGAAGCCCUCUCCAGGAUGCAGCAGGUAGCUGAGGAGAAAACGAAGACUGACCAGCCCAGAGCUCAGAGCUUCCUCCCAUGCUCAGGAUUUACCACCAAUGCCAUUACAUCGGCCUCUUCUUGUAUGCCUCUGGAAACCACAUGUGUCCUCUGUUUGUAAUGGUUUGGCUAUGGUUGCUGGCCCCUCUUGGACAUUGUUUUCAGAACUUAAAGAAACAUUGCUUUAAAGAUUUAUUAGAACAUAUUUAAAAUAAAACCAUCUUCUCAUUUA
rnacentral:lncRNA from 1 species